rnacentral:rRNA from 1 species
UACGGAGGGUGCGAGCGUUGAUCGGAAUUACUGGGCGUAAAGCGCGCGUAGGCGGUUUGUUAAGUCGGAUGUGAAAGCCCCGGGCUCAACCUGGGAACUGCACCCGAUACUGGCCGACUUGAGUGCGAGAGAGGGAGGUAGAAUUCCAUGUGUAGCGGUGAAAUGCGUAGAUAUAUGGAGGAAUACCGGUGGCGAAGGCGGCCUCCUGGCUCGACACUGACGCUGAGGUGCGAAAGCGUGGGUAGCAGACAGG